CGACCUCAGAUCAGACGUGGCGACCCGCUGAAUUUAAGCAUAUUAAUCAGCGGAGGAAAAGAAACUAACAAGGAUUCCCUCAGUAACCGCGAGUAAACCGGGCAGAGCCCAGCGCCGAAUCCCUGCCCCGGUGGGGCGCGGGAAAUGUGGCGUCCUGAAGACCCAGUCCCUGGCGCCGCUAGUGGGGGGCCCAAGUCCUUCCGAUUGAGGCGCAGCCCUGGACGGUGUGAGGCCAGUAGCGGCCCCGGGCGCGCCGGAUCCGGUCUUCCCGGAGUCGGCUUGCUGGGGAAUGCAGCCCAGAGCGGGCGGUAAACUCCAUCUAAGGCUAAAUACCGGCACGAGACCGAUGGUCAACAAGUACUGUAAGGGAAAGGUGAAAAGAACUUUGCAGAGAAAGUUCAAGAGGGCAUGAAACCCUUAAGAGCUAACCCGGUGGGGUCCAGCAGUCCACCCAGAGGAUUCAACCCAGUAGUGUUGUCCGUUGUCCUGCCGUUUCCGUGGUCUCCUAGCCAAUCGUUCCACCAUUCCUCCGGACCCCUUCACUCAUCAGCCCUCCCCUCCCCCGCCGCCGCCCCUCCUUCCUUCCGGGAGAGGGGGACGGGUAAGCCGGGCCAGGGGUGGGGUCGGCGGGCGCAUUUCCACUGAGGCCUUGAGCCGCGACCCGCUCCAGGACGGCUGGGAAGGCCCGGCAGGGAAGGUGGCUCGGGGGUCCCCCGCCCUCAUCGUUCCCACGGCGUGGUGCGGGGCUGGGGGCUAGCGGGUGUCAUCCGUGGCCACGCCCAGAAAACCGGGAAGCGAGCGCACGGGGUCUGCGGUGAUGUCGGCUACCACCUGAUCAGUCUUGAAACAGGGCUCAAGGAGUCGUGUUAACAGGUGCGCGAGUUGGGGGCUCGUUGGAAAGCCGCCGUGGCGCAGUGAAGGUGAAGGCUGGGGAGUGGUGGCGGCGUGCUGUGGGGGGAGGGUGCGUGGGGUGGGUCUGGGGCGGGGUUGGCGGUGGCGCCCUCCCGCCUGCUCCUCAUCCUGUCACCCCCCCCUACCCCGCGCGCCCUGUCUCGCCGGCCAAAGUGGGAUCCUGAGGCCUCUCCAGUCCACCGAGGGCGCACCACGGUCCUGUCUCACCCGCCGCGCCUGGGAGGUGGAGCAGGAGCGCAUGUGUUAGGACCCAAAGAUGGUGAACUAUACCUGGGCAGGGCUAAGCCAGAGGAAACUCUGGUGGAGGUCCGUAGAGGUCCUGACGUGCAAAUCGGUCGUUCCACUGGAUAUUGGGGCGAAAGACUAAUCGAACCAUUUAGUAGCUGGUUCGCUCCAAAGUUUCCAUGAGGAUAGCUGGUUCUCUCGCAAAACAGCAACGCAGUUUUAUCCGGUAAAGCGUAUGAUUGGAGGUCUUGGGGCCGAAACGAUCUCAACCUAUUCUCAAACUUUAAAUGGGUAAGAAGCCCGGCUCGCUGGCGUGGAGCCAGGCGCGGAAUGCGAGUGCCUAGUGGGUAAGCAGAACUGGCGCUGCGGGACGAAUCAAACGCCGGGUUAAGGCGCCCGAUGCGGACGCUUAUCAGACCCCAGAAAAGGUGUUGGCUGAUAUAGACAGCAGGACGGUGGCCAUGGAAGUCGGAAUCCGCUCAGGAGUGUGUAACAGCUCACCUGCCAAAUCUACUAGCCCUGAAAAUGGAUGGCGCUGGAGCGUCGGGCCCAUACCCGGCCGUCGCUGGCAGUCGGAUCUGGACGGGAGCGGGAGGGGGGAUCCGCGUGGGCGGGGUUCGCCCCCUCCCCGCCCCUCCAAGCGUGUGUAGCCGGGCGGAUGCUAGGCCGCGACCAGUAGGAGGGCCGCUGUGGUGAGCCUUGAAGCCCGGGUGGAGCAGCUGCAGGUGCAGAUCUUGGUGGUAGUAGCAAAUAUUCAAAGGAGAACUCUGAAGGCCGAAGUGGAGAAGGGUUCCAUGUGAACAGCAGUUGAACAUGAGUCAGUCAGUCCCGAGAGAUGGGCGAGCGCUGUUCCGCAGGGACAGGCGAUGGCCUCCGUUGCUCUCAGCCGAUCCAAAGGGAGUCGGGUUCAGAUCCCCGAAUCCGGAGUGGUGGAGAUGAUCGCCACGAGGCGUCCAAUGCGGUAACGCGACCGAUCCCGCAGAAGCCGGCGGGAGCCCGGGGGAGAAUUCUCUUUGUGAAGCGCGGGGCGUCCUGGACUGCGUUCUCCCCGAGAGAGGGGCCCGUGCCUUGGAAAGCGUCGCGGUUCCGGCAUAGUCCGGUGAGCUCUCGCUGGCCCUUGAACAUCCGGGGGACAGGGUGUAAAUCUCGCGCCAGGCGACGGUACCGAUAUCUGCAGCAGGUCUCCAAAAGGAACAGCCUCUGGCAUGUUGGAACAAGGUAGGUAACGGAAGUCGGCAAGCCGGAUCCGUAACUUCGGGAUAAGGAUUGGCUCUAAGGACUGGGUCGGUGGCCUGGGGCGCGAAGCGGGAAAUGGGCCCGCGCUGCGGCUGGACGAGGCGCCUCCCCCACCCUAAGACAAGGGGUUCACCCUCGCCCAGAUACGCACCGCGGACCAUUUCGGUCCAGACUCCGACCCUCCCGUACCGCGCCUUUCGUCAACUCCGAUGUGCAGCGGCGACGGCGGCGGCGGCAAGGCCCCCCGGCGGUCCGGCGAUCACGGGGCAUUUUCCCUCGGGUCCACCGACCCCCCUCUUGGGGGCCCGAGGGGGGGGGGGGGGGUUAGCCGUCGUUAAUUCUGGACGCGAGCCCUUCCCGUGGAUCACCCCAGCUAAGGCGGGCGUCGCGGCGGUACGGGGGAGCCCGGCGGGCCCCCUGCGCACCCGGCUCCUCUCCCUUUCCUCUCCGGGGUCCCCUCCCUCUCGACCCCCCCCCCCCCACAUCCCGGUGUGGUGCGCGUCGGCGGCGGCGGGUUGUGGGGUUCGCCCCCUCCCCCGUCUGUUCCUGCUGCGCGCUCCCCCGGCGGCGGCGGCGGGGAAAAGCGUGUGGGGGGAGUCGUCGGUUUUGGGGGGAGCGGCGAGGCCGGUCUCCCCCGCCAGCUGAGCCCCCGGGCCGCGGUUCCGCGCGGCGCUCCGCCUCGGCCGGCGCCUAGCAGCCGACUUAGAACUGGUGCGGACCAGGGGAAUCGGACUGUUUAAUUAAAACAAAGCAUCGUGAAGGCCAGCGGAGGGUGCUGACGCGAUGUGAUUUCUGCCCACUGCUCUGAAUGCCAAAGUGAAGAAAUUCAAGGAAGCGCGGUAAACGGCCGGAGUAACUCUGACUCUCAAGGUAGCCAAAUGCCUCGUUAUCUAAUUAGUGACGCGCUUGAAUGAACAAGAUUCCCACUGUCCCUACCUACUAUCCAGCGAAACCACAGCCAAGGGAACGGGCUUGGCGGAAUCAGCAAGGAAAGAAGACCCUGUUGAGCUUGACUCUAGUCUGGCUCGGUGAAGAGACGUGAGAGGUGUAGAAUGAGUGGGAGGCGAGGUGUAGAAUGAGAGGUGUAGAAUUUCCCGCGAGGGGGCGGGGUGGGGUCCGCCAGCCUCCUGGCCACUAGUGAAAUACCACUACUCUGAUCGUUUUUUCACUGAUCCGGUGAGUGUGGGGGGGAAGCCCCAGGAGCUCUCGCUUGUGGUGCCAAGAGCCUGGUCCUCCGCGCUGCGUCGCCGCGCGCGCCGUCGUCCUGCUGGGCGCGACCCGCUCUGGGGACAGCGCCAGGUGGGGAGUUCGACUGGGGCGGUACACCUGUCAAACGGUAACGCAGCUAUCCUAAGCUCAGGGAGGACAGAAACCUCCCGUGGAGCAGAAGGGCGAAAGCUCGCUGGAUCUUGAUUUUCAGUACGAAUACAGACCAUGAAGGCGGGGCCUCACGAUCCUUCUGACCUUUUGGGUUUUAAGCAGGAGGUGUCAGGAAAGUUACCACAGGGAUAACUGGCUUGUGGCGGCCAAGCGUUCCUAGCCACGUCGCUUUUUGAUCCUUCGAUGUAGGCUCUUCCUAUCAUUGUGAGGCAGAAUUCACCAAGCGUUGGAUGUUCACCCGCUCAUAGGGAACGUGAGCUGAGUUUAGACAGACUGUGGUGAUUCAGGUUAGUUUUACCCCACUAGUGAUGUGUUGUUGCCAUGGUAACCCUGCUCAGUACAAGAAGGAACCGCAGGUUCAGACACUGGUGUAUGUGCCUGGCUGAGGAGCCAGUGGGGCGAAGCCACCAUCUGUGGGAUUGUGACUGAACGCCUCUAAGUCAGAAUCCCGCCCAGGGUGAACCUAGGACAGCGCCGAAGGAGGCUCCAUUAGCCUGCUCGUCCCCGCCUAUGGACCGGGUCCGGUGUAGAGAGCCCCUAGUCCUGGGAAAUGGGGCGCGGCCGGAAAGGAGGCGGCCCUCUCGCCAAUCACGGAAUGCACGUUGGUGGGGAACUUGGCGAUUCUAGACGAUUCCAGACGAUCUGCUUCUGGGUCGGGAUUUCGUACCUAGCAGAGCAGCUCCCUGGCUGCGGACUAUUGGUCAGCCCUGGACACAAGGGUUUGU
rfam:Cavia porcellus supercont2_2 genomic scaffold, whole genome shotgun sequence.